rnacentral:rRNA from 1 species
AGCAGCCGCGGUAAUUCCAGCUCCAAUAGCGUAUAUUAAAGUUGUUGCAGUUAAAAAGCUCGUAGUUGAAUUUCGGGGUCAGUAGGUUGGUCGUGCCACUGGUAUGCACUGGUCUCACUGAUUCCUCCUUCCUGAUGAGCCGUAAUGCCAUUAAUUUGGUGUUGCGGGGAAUCUGGACUGUUACUUUGAGAAAAUUAGAGUGUUUAAAGCAGGCUAACGCUUGAAUACAUUAGCAUGGAAUAAUGAAAUAGGACGAUCGAUCCUAUUUUGUUGGUUUCUAGGAUUGACGUAAUGAUUAAUAGGGAUAGUUGGGGGCAUUAGUAUUCAAUUGUCAGAGGUGAAAUUCUUGGAUUUAUUGAAGACUAACUACUGCGAAAGCAUUUGCCAAGGAUGUUUUCAUUAAUCAAGAACGAAAGUUAGGGGAUCGAAGACGAUCAGAUACCGUCGUAGUCUUAACCAUAAACUAUGCCGACUAGGGAUCGGAUGAUGUUA